rnacentral:lncRNA from 1 species
UACUUUGAGCUAGACUCAGCACGAAAGCUCCCACGCAUCAGUGCAGAAUCGGACGACUUCGGUAUAAGAAAUAAGCCAAACUAAACUAAAUCGGACGGCUUCGGGUCAAAGAAAUAGCAAAACUAAAUCGGACGGCUUCGGUCAAAGAAUAGGACCUCUAUGUCAUCGCGUCGGCAUUCCCACGCCGGCGGAGCACGCGGUGUGCCGGUCCGAGUUCGCCAACGGAGACGCCGUCCGGCUGCUCACCACCAUAUGUCGCC